rnacentral:tRNA from 1 species
UCCCUGGAGGACUAGUGGUUAGGCCACAGCAUUCUCACCUCUGUGGCCCAGGUUCGAUUCCUGGCCAGGGAA